UGGGGAAUUUUGGACAAUGGGCGAAAGCCUGAUCCAGCAACGCCGCGUGCGGGAUGACGGCCUUCGGGUUGUAAACCGCUUUCAGCAGGGACGAAGGUUUUCUGACGGUACCUGCAGAAGAAGCACCGGCUAACUACGUGCCAGCAGCCGCUGUGAUACGUAGGGUGCGAGCGUUGUCCGGAAUUAUUGGGCGUAAAGAGCUUGUAGGCGGUCCGUUGCGUCGGAAGUGAAAACUCAGGGCUUAACCCUGAGCCUGCUUUCGAUACGGGCGGACUUGAGGGAUGUAGGGGAGAACGGAAUUCCUGGUGGAGCGGUGGAAUGCGCAGAUAUCAGGAGGAACACCAGUGGCGAAGGCGGUUCUCUGGACAUUUCCUGACGCUGAGAAGCGAAAGCGUGGGGAGCAAACAGGCUUAGAUACCCUGGUAGUCCACGCCGUAAACGGUGGGCACUAGGUGUGGGACCCAUUCCACGGGUUCCGUGCCGUAGCUAACGCAUUAAGUGCCCCGCCUGGGGAGUACGGCCGCAAGGCUAAAACUUAAAGGAAUUGACGGGGUCAUGAGCUGUUU
rnacentral:rRNA from 1 species